rfam:TPA: Bos taurus chromosome 15, whole genome shotgun sequence.
UCCUGGUAGCUCAGAUGGUAAAGAAUCUGCCUGCGAUUCAGGAGACCCAGGUUUGACCCCUGGACCAGGAA